rnacentral:rRNA from 1 species
AUUGAACGCUGGCGGCAUGCCUUACACAUGCAAGUCGAACGGUAACAGGUCUUCGGAUGCUGACGAGUGGCGAACGGGUGAGUAAUACAUCGGAACGUGCCUAGUAGUGGGGGAUAACUACUCGAAAGAGUGGCUAAUACCGCAUGAGAUCUACGGAUGAAAGCAGGGGAUCGCAAGACCUUGUGCUACUAGAGCGGCCGAUGGCAGAUUAGGUAGUUGGUGGGAUAAAAGCUUACCAAGCCGACGAUCUGUAGCUGGUCUGAGAGGACGAUCGACCACACUGGGACUGAGACACGGCCCAGACUCCUACGGGAGGCAGCAGUGGGGAAUUUUGGACAAUGGGCGCAAGCCUGAUCCAGCAAUGCCGCGUGCAGGAUGAAGGCCUUCGGGUUGUAAACUGCUUUUGUACGGAACGAAAAGCCCUGGGUUAAUACCCUGGGUCAUGACGGUACCGUAAGAAUAAGCACCGGCUAACUACGUGCCAGCCGCCGCCGUAA